rnacentral:misc_RNA from 1 species
GAUGAAGAACGCAGUGAAAUGCGAUAACUAAUGUGAAUUGCAGAGUUCCGUGAAUCAUCGAGUCUUUGAACGCACAUUGCGCCCCCUGGUAUUCCGGGGGGCAUGCCUGUCCGAGCGUCAUUGCUGCCCAUCAAGCACGGCUUGUGUGUUGGGUCCUCGUCCCCCCCGGGGGACGUGCCCGAAAGGCAGCGGCGGCACCGCGUCCGGUCCUCGAGCGUAUGGGGCUUUGUCACCCGCUCUGCAGGCCCGGCCGGCGCUGGCCGACGCGAAAGCAACCAUUUUUUCUCCAGGUUGACCUCGGAUCAGGUAGGGAUACCCGCUGAACUUAAGCAUAUCAAUAAGCGGAGGA